CCCGGCGCCGCCCCGCUGCCCGCCGCCGCCUGGCUCGCGGCCCUGCUGUGCUGGAGGCUGCUGCCCCUCGCCACCUGACACAGGUCACAAAAGACACCGACUGCAGUCCGGUCGGGCGUUGCGGACAUCGGUGGCCUGGACACACAUCUACCUCAUGAACGCCGACCAGUAUUCAUCCUGCGUCUUCUUCCUUCCUCGAUUCCUCAGGUUUGUUCCGUUGCGGAACACUGCGACAAUGUGCUGCGGGACAUUUGCUUUGUUGUGGCCUGAAGAAGCGGCAGGCGUAUACCAAGUACAAGUGAGAAACAAGAGGUUGCUGGCGGGCGUGGUUUGCAAAACUGCUGAAAUGUGAUCGUGAGAGAAUAAUGUACAAAAUUAUAUUUUAUAUACAGAUAUAUACACAAGCUUUAAGCUUUCCCGUGUUCAAAGCACGGGUGCCACUAAUGAAUUUUAUAUAACAAUCUGAUCGCCGAGUGGUUUUCAGAGCUCCCAGCCAUACUGGUAGCUAUCCAUACGAAUGUACGCUGUUGAUAUCUCUGUGAAAGCCUCAGCACGGCUUAAACUAUUACAUGGUAAGAAGAAACUUUGCAAAAAUUGUAUUCCUAAAUCUGUGAAAUACUCAUAGUACACAGACGCCAAAGAAACUGUCAAACCGGUCUGGGUUCAUUUCAGUAUCUCGCAGCUUGCCAUCACCAAACAAUGUUUUGAGUACAAGGUGCAGGCUCUACGGUACUCGGUUUACAUAAAUAAAGUAGUCUUAUUUUCAGUACGUACACCAAAGGAUAAAUCUCAGUUCAAAAGUAUUGAAAUUGGACUGAUAUUUACUAUAAUUUACAUGCAGUAGUUGUGUUGCAGUAUUACAACAUUUCCACGUCGGGAACUACCAUUUUGUAUCAUGAUAGUGUCAUCUAUGUCGUCCACAAAAUGUACUGCUAUGUAAAAGGUAAUACCUAUGGAAUACUGUUGUCUACAUUUAAAUGCCGUUAUAUGUGACAUCGAUGGUGAUAAAAAUAGACUAGGGGUGCCAACUGUCUCACAAAUAUUCAAUGAGUUAUUCAUUGUCUCUGAUCUCCACAAACUUGGCUACGAUUGGACACGUCACGGAAGUGUAACAUAUGUAUGUAUGUAUUUAUUAUAGAUUAAACGAUGUGACACUUCGAAUCGAAUUGCCUCUUGUACAUUAACGUUUGACCAUACACCUAGAAAAAAUAAAUAAAUUUUUGAUAAUUUUAUAAACGUCA